UUCUGUAUUUUCCAGUUAAACCAUAUUUUGAUGCAUUGUGUGCUGGCUGCUGUUGUGACUUAUAGUUUGUAGGCAUGAGUUUAUAGUCCAAUAUGUUUUAUUGUUGUUUGAUUCAAAUAAACUUUUGUUUUGAAGUUGUGUGAAAUUUGUAAAUUGUGAAGCGCUACUGCAGGAAGCUCAUAAUCAACUUUGAUUUGGCAUUUUUUGUGUAAAAAUUGUGAUAAGUUUUAAUUUAUCCCAAUUCUGUUCUAAUCAUGUGAGCUGUAUGAACUAGGAUG
rnacentral:lncRNA from 1 species